rnacentral:SRP_RNA from 1 species
AGUGGACCUCCCGCGUGACGUCAUCCCACCGAACUCCCCCAGGGCAGGAAUGCAGCAAGGGUAGGCGGGCUCUGCCGGGUACGCGGGAGGUUCCUGUGC